rnacentral:lncRNA from 1 species
CGUUGUCUAAUAUAUGUUGUGCUAAUAACCAAAAAAAUUGAAAGUACAACGGUAUAAAUAGGUGGAUUUUCUAUGUACAAUGUAUGAAUAAGAAAUGAAGUGGAACUUUCAAUGGUGCAGCUGUAUAUACAGAUUUAAAAUGAGCUACUUCACCAUCCUUGAUCAUAUGCAGACAUCUGAAAUACUCUUUGUUGCACUAAUUGGUGCCACGAAAUUGUCUUUGUACUAAAAAGAUGCACCAUUUUAUCAUUACCAACAACCAUAAUCAGACUACAAGAUUAAUUUUUCUGGGUUUUGAGAAUCUUGGUUAUUGGUCAUGAAUUCUAGAAUGUGAUACUUUAUAGACAGUAGUGUGUAACAAUGGGAUCAACAUGGAAAACAGAGAUGCAACCUUCAAUUGCUUCAUAAAAUUGUUCUUGUUUGUAAAUAUAUAUAAGUUUCAAACAAAUAAAGCCUAUCUUCUGCAUAUUGGAAACCACUCAAAAUACCCAACUUGGAUUUAUCACCUGCCAUGCAUAUAUAUUAAAUUUAGAGAAAAUCACAAAAAAUGAUAAUAAAAAAACUAAAAAAAACGAAACAAAACCACUGUGAAAUUAGGCAUCAAAAAACAUUAUUUAGAGGAAAAACAAGAAUUCAGUUGCAUACUUACCUUCGAGCCUUUCGGUGAUAAUUUUCGAGAGCGGGGACCGACAUGAUAGAAUCCAUGGCUUUUUAUUAAAACAAAAGUGAUAAUGAUACAUAGGUUAUGUAUAAUUAAAUCAAUACAUAACAACACAUAAGAGAAAAAUGUAAUUAGAACCAAGGGCAGGAUUUCAUGGUAGGGGUGUCACGGGAAAUUUUAGUAGUGUCAUGCUAGGAGGACAAAAAUUUCGAACAUUUUUACACUACGUCCGAAAAAGUCGGGGGUUGCCGAUGCCACUAUAGAGACCAUAGUCAAACCGCCCCUGAUUAAAACCUAUUUAAAUGACAAUUUCCUACAUAUUUUAUAAUGUCUUUUGGAUGUUGCCAUAAAUUUUAGCAUAAAGUGCUUUUCAACGAUUAAUACCAGCACAUAUGACAUAUGGGUGCAAAGUGCCAUAAAUAAACGGUUGGGGUUGUUUUUGUUAAAAAAUAGUGAUUAAAACAAUGAUACAAUCUCCUUCAAUAGUAAAACAUGACUUAACUAAAAUGUAAACAAGGCAAGCCCAUGAUACAUCCAAUUGAUUACAAAAGAUGUAUUAACUUUUUUGCAACUAAAUAUAUAAGGGCCAAUUUCCUUUUAUAUUAAGUAAAAAAAACAUACACUAACUUACAUCAGUAAACACAUGAAAUUAAUAGGCAAGAAAUACAUAAUCAUUUAGCGUUCUUGCAAUUAGGAGAACAUCCUUUAAUGCAUAAGAGAAUGAUAUUGGCAAGAAAUAUAUUCCAAACCCUGAAUGUUUCUAAAGAUAAACUGCAAAAAACCAUAGCCGACAAACAAUAACAAGAAACUUGAGUAAUUUUCCACUCAAAACAAAAAGAAACCCACCAAGAUCGGAUAGCAUUCACCUUGUUUUUUACUGAAAUAAAAUCAUGAAACUUGAGUAAUUUUCCAGGCAAUUGAAAUUACUUGGUCACAUCUUUUUUCUCCACAUUACUAAAUUUCUUCAGAUGGAAGGUCUUGCUAGUAAAAUAUUCCCAAUUUCUACAAUAACUUAAGGGAAAAAAAUCUAUCUUUUUGCUUAAUUAUUUCUGAACUGGGGGUUCCAAUUUAACGUAAAUGUCAUCAGUGUUAUAACAACCAUUAAUAAUAAUUUUUUGUCUAGCUCGAGCAGUGAUUUUUUUUUAUCAUCAGACAGUGAUCUACUGUCUGGAAUGAUGCAGGGUAAAUUAGAACCGUUAAUCCACAUGAGAAGUUGAUGUAAGAUAGGGAUUGGUGGUGGUACAAAGAGGAAUGGGAUCUUGAGUGGAACAAAAAUACAAAACCUCAUACUAAUACGCUUCAAUAGCAUAAAUAAAUGGCCCAAAACUAAUAGCCUUAAGUGUCCUUACAAAAAUCUGAAUCUUAAUAGGGCUGAAUUAUCAUGGGGCAUUCCUCUUCGUUUAUCCUGCAUAAACAAACCACAACAUAGGUUAAGAAGUAGGUGGCGCUGCUACUACCGUAAAUGCUAAGGAUAACUUAUGGAAGAAAUUGGAACUGAAGAAUUAAAAGUUUACCUUCUGCAAUAAAAUCCUUGUUCUUCAAAUUAAAAAUCCCUAAUUUCCAAAAAAUCGCAUUAAGAUGAAGAUGCCAGGCGAUUUUUCUGGAGUCAUUGUUAGGUUUCCUUUUCCUAAAUAUCAAUCUAACUGCAAAUCCAUCAAAAAACCACUGAUAACCUCCAUCGACGAUGUGUUUGUAAAGAGAGAAAUAGGAAAGAAAUUAGCGUUGUCAUCAAAUUCGCCGUCUCUAAUCUUCCCUACAAGUGGGACAAAUUCAACGUUUGAGAUUGUAAGUGAAUACUGAAUGUUUGUGAUACCGAAUGUUUUUUCACUAAAUUGGUGGCCACUUUGGCCACUAAAUUGGUAGAUGGAACGCAGGAUAUGUGAAGAAUGUGUGAUGAAACGUAUAUGAGGAAUUGAAACACCAAACGCUAUGUGAUGAAGAGUUUUUGACCAUAACAGAGUCCUUUGAAAAAAUAUUUACCGUAUUCGGGUUGUUUCAAAAAUAUUUACUA